GAUGAACGCUGGCGGCGUGCCUAAUACAUGCAAGUCGAGCGAACGGACGAGAAGCUUGCUUCUCUGAUGUUAGCGGCGGACGGGUGAGUAACACGUGGAUAACCUACCUAUAAGACUGGGAUAACUUCGGGAAACCGGAGCUAAUACCGGAUAAUAUUUUGAACCGCAUGGUUCAAAAGUGAAAGACGGUCUUGCUGUCACUUAUAGAUGGAUCCGCGCUGCAUUAGCUAGUUGGUAAGGUAACGGCUUACCAAGGUAACGAUGCAUAGCCGACCUGAGAGGGUGAUCGGCCACACUGGAACUGAGACACGGUCCAGACUCCUACGGGAGGCAGCAGUAGGGAAUCUUCCGCAAUGGGCGAAAGCCUGACGGAGCAACGCCGCGUGAGUGAUGAAGGUCUUCGGAUCGUAAAACUCUGUUAUUAGGGAAGAACAUAUGUGUAAGUAACUGUGCACAUCUUGACGGUACCUAAUCAGAAAGCCACGGCUAACUACGUGCCAACAGCCGCGGUAAUACGUAGGUGGCAAGCGUUAUCCGGAAUUAUUGGGCGUAAAGCGCGCGUAGGCGGUUUUUUAAGUCUGAUGUGAAAGCCCACGGCUCAACCGUGGAGGGUCAUUGGAAACUGGAAAACUUGAGUGCAGAAGAGGAAAGUGGAAUUCCAUGUGUAGCGGUGGAAUGCGCAGAGAUAUGGAGGAACACCAGUGGCGAAGGCGACUUUCUGGUCUGUAACUGACGCUGAUGUGCGAAAGCGUGGGGAUCAAACAGGAUUAGAUACCCUGGUAGUCCACGCCGUAAACGAUGAGUGCUAAGUGUUAGGGGGUUUCCGCCCCUUAGUGCUGCAGCUAACGCAUUAAGCACUCCGCCUGGGGAGUACGACCGCAAGGUUGAAACUCAAAGGAAUUGACGGGGACCCGCACAAGCGGUGGAGCAUGUGGUUUAAUUCGAAGCAACGCGAAGAACCUUACCAAAUCUUGACAUCCUUUGACAACUCUAGAGAUAGAGCCUUCCCCUUCGGGGGACAAAGUGACAGGUGGUGCAUGGUUGUCGUCAGCUCGUGUCGUGAGAUGUUGGGUUAAGUCCCGCAACGAGCGCAACCCUUAAGCUUAGUUGCCAUCAUUAAGUUGGGCACUCUAAGUUGACUGCCGGUGACAAACCGGAGGAAGGUGGGGAUGACGUCAAAUCAUCAUGCCCCUUAUGAUUUGGGCUACACACGUGCUACAAUGGACAAUACAAAGGGCAGCGAAACCGCGAGGUCAAGCAAAUCCCAUAAAGUUGUUCUCAGUUCGGAUUGUAGUCUGCAACUCGACUACAUGAAGCUGGAAUCGCUAGUAAUCGUAGAUCAGCAUGCUACGGUGAAUACGUUCCCGGGUCU
rnacentral:rRNA from 1 species